rnacentral:misc_RNA from 1 species
CGGGAAUGAGUACAGGCGCCAUCACCAUAGCAACAAUCUCGGCUCUGAUAUCGCGCUUCGUCCGCAGAAGCGCUCCCCGGCCUCCAUGCGACACCGCCUCGGUGCAUAUGGCUGUCUUUUCAACAAGGAAGAAAUGUUAGGCUCGCCUGAAUCAGUCUUGCGCUGUGUUCACGUGAAUCGUCGCUACUGACAAUCCCUUCAGAGUGGGACAUUGCCUUACGGACAUCGGAACAGGAUUGGUGAUAUAUAUUUGCGUAUCGAGGAUGAGGAAGGACGUUCAGUACAGGGACCUGCCCGGAGGUCCCUUAAUGAUCAAAUUUGCUGACGAGCUGCCUCUGUGCACACUGUGCUCGAGGUGCGGCAUGCUGUCGAAGGAUAUGUUCGAGGAUCCGUCAUCGCACGCUUUCUGCAGCGUGUGCAUCUUCGAGUGCAGCGACCGGAAGAAAAUACACUGCAAGUACGAGAACAAGGACGUUUCAGUCGACGAGAUGAUGCCUGCAAUCGACAUAUUCAAUAUCGUCAUGGAUCAAGUGGUUUACUGUCCAAACACAAGAGAUGGUGACUCCUGCAGGGAACACUGUAGUUUGAAAGACUUAGAGGGACACUUGUUGAAGUGUGAAAAAACGGAAAUUAUCUGCCUGUCCUGCGGCGAUUCAGUGAAGGGCGUUGAUUGGCAAGACCACGUGACUUCAUGCCCACAACAUGUCGUUCAGUGCCGUCACUGCGUUGUGGCAGUCCCUCGUGGGAGGCUGGAGCAUCACGAACGUGUGUGCAGCUCCAAUCCAAACGCUAUCCGGGACGUGGGCUCAUGCCCGUCAACGAAUGCAGAUUCAGCUGCAUGGUCACGCAGCAACUCGGACCCAAAUCACGAAAAGAUUUCGGUGUCUCAGAACAGUAACGAGCAUCAUCUAACGCCCGAAGCCAGGGAUAAAGCACGUGCCAACACAGAGGCCGUCUGCAAGAGUACGCCAAGUGCCGUGAAUAACGUUGGUGGUGUCGUCAUCGAAAGUUGUCCACUAUGUAAACGUAAUGUGAAGAGCACAAAUAUGGCAAAGCACUACAGUAUUUGUCAGCAACGGAUGCCCAGUCUAGAUCAUGACGAAGCCAAUCAAACACCAGGAAUAUCAGUCCAACCUUCAAUGAGAGAAACUGUCCCGACCAAAGAGCCAAUACGCGAAUAUACUGGGAACCCACACGAAGGUUACAGUACUCCCGAAUCACGCAAAGUGUCACUGCCCCAAGGACAUCAUUCAGGUGAACAUGCAGGGCCCUCUCAAGAAGCUGGUGGGAUCAAGGUGCCAGUGCAGAUCUACCCGGAUCUUCAACAUCAAGCAUGCCAUACGGCUGCCCUGGCUGCGCCGCAGUAUGUUCAACCUCAACAUGAAAUGCCUUUUCCACCUUUUCGAGCUGUCGCUGCUAUGGCACCCAUGCCACCUGUAGCACCUGGAAGACGUCCUGAUCACCAUGCACCAAUCAAUCAAGGUUUCAUCGACAGUGCACCAGUAGGUAGAGACUCUCAACAUCCGGUGCCUGUUGUCCCUCUAUUCACAGAGAAUCACUUUGGACGAGGCGGACAGCAUAAUCAACUAGCAUGCGCCGUACCGACAAGAUUGUUCUCUUGCAAGCGCUGCUAAUGACAAAGCACACUCCAAGCAACGAGCUUCUGGUCCUCCCACCUCUUCGAUGGUGUAUUGUCCAGAAUUGCAACAGCAUCGAAGAGUGGAUGAGGUUGCUACCCCGGCAUCGGAAGAUUACGACCUGUUGAGUGAUCUUGAGGACCUGAGCAUCUCAGGUGGACCGAAUGAGCAC